rnacentral:rRNA from 1 species
GACGUAGGGUGCGAGCGUGUCCGGAUUAUUGGGCGUAAAGAGCUCGGUAGGCGGCUCGUCGCGUCGACCGUGAAAACCCGCAGCUUAACUGCGGGCUUGCGGUUGAUACGGGCGGGCUAGAGUUCGGUAGGGGAGACUGGAAUUCCUGGUGAGCGGUGAAAUGCGCAGAUAUCAGGAGGAACACCGGUGGCGAAGGCGGGUCUCUGGGCCGAUACUGACGUGAGGAGCGAAAGCGUGGGGAGCGAACAGG